rnacentral:sRNA from 1 species
AGGAACUGUGAAACUCUAAAGAAGGAAGUCACCAGACUUGUCUCUAUCAGUCCUGAAAGUGUCUCUCACAUUCCUGAAGCAAUCAGCUUUCUGGUCACAGCCAACAGUGUAGAAGCUGACUCACCUGAGCUGUCCCACAUCAUGACUUGGGAGAAAGUGUCCCCUGUCCUGGCAUUGUCCUACUUCUCCAGGCAGUACCCACCCCACCCAUUGACUGCCCAGUAUGCUAUCAGAGUUCUCAGAGCUCAGCCUAAUGAAGUGCUCUUGUUCUACAUUCCUCAAAUAGUUCAAGCCUUGAGAUACGAUCCAGUGAGU